GGGCGUUCUCAGGGCAGGGUGAAAGUCCCUACCGGCGGUAUGCAGCCUCGAGCUGCGAGCCCGCGAGCGCCUUCCGGUGGAAGGGUCAGCAGAUCAGGUGAGAGGCCUGAGCCGACGGUCAGAGUCCGGAUGAAAGAGAACGCGC
rnacentral:ncRNA from 2 species